UUAAAAUAUAAAUGUUAAAUAAAAUUAGUAUUAGUUAUGUUCUUGAAAUUUAAAGAAUUUGGCGGUAUUUUAGUCUUUUCAGAGGAACCUGUUCUAUAAUUGAUAAUCCACGAUAAAUACAACUUAUUUUAAUUAGUUUGUAUAUCGUUGUAGUUGAAUAUUUCAUUAGAUUAAAAAUAUUCAAAAUUUAAUAUAAUAAAUAAAAUCAGAUCAAGGUGCAAUUUAUAAAUAAGGAGAAAUGGGUUACAAUAAAAUUAUUUAAAUGGAUAAAUUAAUGAAAAAGAUUUUGAAGGUGGAUUUGAAAGUAAUAUAAUUGAUUUAGUUUAUAUGAUUUAAGCUCUAAAAUAUGU
rnacentral:rRNA from 1 species